rnacentral:rRNA from 1 species
AUUGAACGCUGGCGGAAUGCUUUACACAUGCAAGUCGGGCGGCAGCGCGGGGGCAACCCUGGCGGCGAGCGGCGAACGGGUGAGUAAUACAUCGGAACGUGUCCUUGAGUGGGGGAUAGCUCGGCGAAAGCCGGAUUAAUACCGCAUAAGCUCUGAGGAGGAAAGCGGGGGACUGGUAACGGCCUCGCGCUGUUGGAGCGGCCGAUGUCGGAUUAGCUAGUUGGUGGGGUAAAGGCCCACCAAGGCGACGAUCCGUAGCUGGUCUGAGAGGAUGAUCAGCCACACUGGAACUGAGACACGGUCCAGACUCCUACGGGAGGCAGCAGUGGGGAAUUUUGGACAAUGGGGGCAACCCUGAUCCAGCCAUUCCGCG